rnacentral:lncRNA from 1 species
AUGAUGAGAGGCAUCGAAGUAGCUCGACCUUUUCAACACAGACUUGUUAGGAUAUCUUAGAAAAGAUGGUUGCUUAUAUCAUCAAUGGAACUACACCUAAAAAUAUCCAUCAAAAUGUAGUCAUCUCUAAAGUACCAAGUAUAUAGUGAUGCAAGUACUUAAUCCGACGAAGUCACAUAGAAUUAAAAUUGGCAACAUCAUCAUUGUCCCAAGCAGCUAUAAUUUACUGAUAAAUCACUCAUGAAUUGAUCAAAUAUAGGAUUAUUGAAUAAAUUUCUUUAAAAAAACUUCAAGUUUUUAUACCAGAAUAUCGUUGACCUCAUUGUCGCCCUCCUAUCGUGGCCGCCUUCGCAUCUCGCUGCCGGCCACCGCAUCCGUGUGAUUGUCUCUGCCUUACAGCCCUUGCCCUCAUCUUACGAUUAUUUUCUCAUCCUCGUCUAUCACCCUCGGUCAUCCCUAAUGAGGUGUUGCUAAGGCCUCGCCUCUGCCCUAUCGUACCUAUUUGUCGACCUUGAUGGAUAGCCCCCACAGUGAUCGCCCUCCCUUGACUCCCCCGAUGAAGGCAUAGACAGGGAAGGCAAUAUUAGAGCAAUCACGACAAUGGAUGCGAUAGGGAGAGAUCCUCAAGGAGUCGAUAACAGUCGUUGGCGAGAUCAUCUAGGGCGACAACAAAGGAAAGGUGGAAGUGGAAGCUAUGAGGAAAUAGACAGCGUACAUGCUGACGAGGUCGCCCUCACAGACCAUCACCCGCUUUCCCUUCGGGGACUCGACCAUGGCAGACGAUGACACGAUGAUAACCCUAGACAAGAAGUGGAGACAGCGGGAUGACAGGAUGGUUGUAAGAGUAAUCUCAUCCUUCAUAAAAUAAAGGAUGUUUUAUGUAAAUAAAUAAAAAGAAAAUGCUCUCUGCUGAGAAAAAGAAAAUGAAAAAGACUUCUUUUUUGAAUUUAUUAAUUCUAUGUAAGCUAAAGUCAUGGGAGAAG